CCUACGGGAGGCAGCAGUGGGGAAUCUUGCGCAAUGGGCGAAAGCCUGACGCAGCAACGCCGCGUGGGGGAUGAAGGCUCUCGGGUUGUAAACCCCUUUCAGCAGGGACGAACCAAGACGGUACCUGCAGAAGAAGCCCCGGCUAACUACGUGCCAGCAGCCGCGGUAACACGUAGGGGGCAAGCGUUGUCCGGAUUUAUUGGGCGUAAAGAGCUCGUAGGUGGCUGAGUAAGUCGGAUGUUAAAUCCCCAGGCUCAACCUGGGACACCACCCGAUACUGCUCUGGCUAGAGUCCGGUAGGGGAGCGUGGAAUUCCUGGUGUAGCGGUGAAAUGCGCAGAUAUCAGGAGGAACACCAGCGGCGAAGGCGGCGCUCUGGGCCGGUACUGACACUGAGGAGCGAAAGCGUGGGUAGCAAACAGGAUUAGAUACCCUGGUAGUCCACGCCGUAAACGUUGGGCACUAGGUGUGGGGUCUAUUCAACGGACUCCGUGCCGUAGCUAACGCAUUAAGUGCCCCGCCUGGGGAGGUACGGCCGCGAGACGUAAACUAACUAANAUAGUAGCGNGNGAGCGCGACGACGACGACGAGGAGGAG
rnacentral:rRNA from 1 species